rnacentral:rRNA from 1 species
UACGAAGGGGGCGAGCGUUGUUCGGAUUUACUGGGCGUAAAGGGCGCGCAGGCGGCUUUGUUUGUCAGGCGUGAAAGCCCCGGGCUUAACCUGGGAACUGCGUUUGAUACGGCAGGGCUAGAGUUCGGGAGAGGAGAGUGGAAUUCCCAGUGUAGCGGUGAAAUGCGCAGAUAUCAGGAGGAACACCGGUGGCGAAGGCGGGUCUCUGGGCCGAUACUGACGCUGAGGAGCGAAAGCGUGGGGAGCGAACAGG